UCCGUAGGCGGUGUGGCAAGUCGGAAGUGAAAUCUCUGGGCUUAACUCAGAGGCUGCUUCCGAAACUGCCGUGCUAGAGUGCGAGAGAGGCAAGUGGAAUUGCGGGUGUAGCGGUGAAAUGCGUAGAUAUCCGCAGGAACAUCCGAGGCGAAAGCGGCUUGCUGGAUCGCAACUGACGCUGAGGGACGAAAGCUAGGGGAGCAAACAGGAUUAGAUACCCUGGUAAGUCCUAGCCCUAAACCAUCAGGACUUGGGGUUUGCCCUGUACGGGGCAAGUCCCGUAGCUAACGCGUUAAGUCCUGCGCCUGGGGAGUACGGUCGCAAGGCUAGAA
rnacentral:rRNA from 1 species